GAAUCGUAUAAUGGGAUCACAGAACGCUUUGGAUUGGAAGGGGCAGUAAAGAUCAUCCACUGCGAUCCCCAUUGCCAUGGGCAGGGGCACCUUCCACUGGAUCAGGCUGCUCAAGGCCCCAUCCAACCUGGCCUUGAACACUUGCAGGGAUGGAGCAGCCACAGUUUCUCCGGGCGAUGUGUUUCAGUGCCUCACCCUCCUCACGCUAAAUAAUCUCAUUUUAAUAUCUAAUCUAAACCAACUUCCAGUUUAAAACCAUUAGCCCUUGUCCUGUCACAUGCCCUUGUAAAAAGUCUCUUUCCAGCUUUCCUGUAUAUGCCAAAAGUCAGCUAGCAAGAAAACAGAGAGAGUAUCUAUCUAUUCUUUAUUUUUAUUUAGUCUAAAUUUAAAUGGUAAAACUUUGGAGAGGUUCUAGAGGCCUACUUUAGUGAGGACUGGCUAAAGCAGUUUAUUUUUGUUGAGAGCAGUCUAAGCCACCUGGUUUGUAGGCAGUAAAUUCCCGUACCUUUUACUGAAUGCCUGUUAAAGAACAAGGGCAACGGGCACCGUCUGCACAGAACAGGGUGGGAGCGAAGGAGACAUCGAUGUAGUGCAGGGGGAUGAUGUGUGAAUUAUGGUGUCUUGCUUUCCCUGCAGAUUGAAGAUAGGCAGGCCGAGAUGAGCAGGAGGAAUGUGCCUCAGAGGUAAAGAUGAGGAACAUGCUCUUGAAAAGAGGGUGACUGCACCUGAAGGCAUUGCUCAGAAGAGGAAGGUGUAUGCUAAUGAGCGAUUUCAAGAAGCAGCAGGAAGAAAUGCAGCUGUGGAUGGGGAGGGAAAGAAAGGUAAGUGUGAAAGUCAUCAGCACUGAGGAGAGGAGUGAAGUCACCCAGAGGCCAGGGCAGAGGGAGAAGCAGCAGCUCACCAAAGCCAGAAACCAGCAGAGUGAGUUUUCCUUGUGUUUGCAUAAGUUAGCACCUGUGUUGCUUGCAGCUGGAGGAGGGCAUGUGGGGGGGGUGGGAGACCUUCUUUCCCUGGGAAACUGGAGGGUUGCUGUUUUACAUAUGAACGAGGCCUGACGACAGAAAAUGACUCCAGUUGUAUGCUAAUACUGAAGCAUUUGCGCUGCUGAUACUAUUGAAAGUGCCAUUUCCAGUGGGAAGGACCCACAGUUUUUUAUUUCCCCGCAGGAUCUCCACUAAUCUCCAUUAUAUUAAUACACUUAGUGCACAUCGUUUCCCUCAAGUGGGCUUGAGAGGAGGAUGAUACAUAGAACUGAUAAUGAAGUGCCUUUUCCAUCUAGUUGCAGUGUUUGGGUUUUUAGAGUGAAUGUGCUGCUGUGGAGUUUCUUGUCCCAAAUUUGGAACGAU